UCUCCUGUAGCUCUGUGGUUGAGCGUCUGACCGGUGUACGGAAGGUCAUAGGUUCGACUCCUGUUGGGGAAC
rnacentral:tRNA from 1 species